UAACUUUGCAAUUGAAUUUUAGAGAACUAGAAUUCGUACAUAAAAAUCAUUAAAGAAUAUUGGCAUG
rfam:Myroides odoratus DSM 2801 chromosome, whole genome shotgun sequence.